rnacentral:lncRNA from 1 species
UCGCAUCCUCAUGGGUAUUUGGGUCAUUUUCCCACUUCUAUAAGACCACAAAACAUGAGAUUUAGCCAUUUUAGAGGAAAAAUCCAUUCACUAUUCUAAAAAUUACUCAAGAACCAAACCCUAGGGUUUCUAAUUCAAUAUUCAAGAUUCAAGAACUCACCAUAAACCUUAGUCAAUUCAUGUACCAAGGUAUGUGAAGUGUUCAUCCAAG